rnacentral:rRNA from 1 species
CCUACGGGUGGCAGCAGUGAGGAAUAUUGGUCAAUGGCCGGAAGGCUGAACCAGCCAAGCCGCGUGAAGGACGAAGGUGCCAAGCAUUGUAAACUUCUUUUGUCAAGGGAUAAAAUCAGGCUCGAGAGCCUGACCGUGGGUACUUGAAGAAAAAGCAUCGGCUAACUCCGUGCCAGCAGCCGCGGUAAUACGGAGGAUUCGAGCGUUAUCCGGAUUUAUUGGGUUUAAAGGGUGCGUAGGCGGGCUGUUAAGUCAGGGGUGAAAGGUCGGGGCUCAACCCCGGCAGGGCGUUGGAUACUGGCUGUCUUGAGAUGUCGAGAGGUAUGCGGAAUGCGCAGUGUAGCGGUGAAAUGCUUAGAUAUUGCGCAGAACUCCGAUUGCGAAGGCAGCAUACCGGCGGCGAUCUGACGCUGAGGCACGAAAGCGUGGGUAUCGAACAGGAUUAGAUACCCCAGUAGUC